ensembl:lncRNA
GACUGAAUGUAGUGUGAAGCGCUUUGGGGUCCUUAGGGACUAGAAAAGCGCUAUACAAAUGCAGGCCAUUUACCAGUAACCUUUCAGAAAAAAGGGGAUAAAGGUCUAAUUUUUUUCACCAUAUAAUUGAUGAAACUUUCUAUUUUUUUCAGUUGAGCAUCAGGGACAAGGCUGUCUUGCAAUUGUUGAGGUCACUAGUGUGUUCCCCAUUUCUUCCAGGAUCACUCUUCAUUUGUAGGUUUUAGAGGACUCCUACUACUGUGAAGUGGUUUUCAUGGGAAAAAGGCAUUGUAUUCCAAGACAUCUGGGAGAUUGUAGAAAUGAGCAGCAAUGGCCUUCUUUUCCAAGUUCCAAAAAAAUAAGUGAUCUGGAAGCUGUCAGGCUUACUUACAGCAGUAGCACUUUCUGCACCUGCAUAAAGGACACAUUUACUAGCAGUGUUUGUUACUGUAUGUGCUACAGCUGCAGCUUUGAAUUUUUUUUUCUUUUUUUUUCUUUUUUGGAGAGUUAAAAAUUUGGCCAUGGUAUCUUGUUAUGAAAUGUACAAGAGUAAAAGUGUUUUUAGCAUGUGCUUCAAAGCUAAGUUUGACUGGGAAACUCAAAGGUCAAUAACCUGCAUCAACAGAAAUUCACUGCAGCCUGUGUAAUAUUUGAUGAUAAUAUAUUCCAGUGUAUCUUGCAAAUUGUAAUGUCAUGUACAAACUAUUAGAUCCUUAAGAUCAAACCUGUGUCAUUCUAUUGGUCCAUUGCAGUGUAGUAAGUCAUCAAAAGCCCCUAUAUGAAACUAAGAAUAUUACAUGAAAUUGGUUGUUGGCCAAAAAUGGGUAAAUGAUGAAAUUGCAUGAUUUAGCACUGUCAAUAACAAGGAAUUUUAAAAUUUCAUAAUAAUGGGUUUCGGGUGGCCAAAAGUUUCCAUGAUCGAGGCAAGAGGAACAAUGUUCAGUGUAUAUAUUUUUGAUGAAUUUAAGAAGCUGAAAAUUAUUAAAGCUGAAUAAAACUAGACCCUUUCAUUCCAUUGGCAUAAACACAGCAAAAAUGGUCAACAAAAAAAAAAAAGAGAAAGAAGUGGCCACAAAUGGCCAGGAUAGAGACCAGAGGGUUAAUGCGUAAAAUGUA